UCCUGGUCAGGACAGAGUGGGGCAGCAGCAGCAGCCGCCACCUUCUGCAGGAGACGCUGACGGGGGCGCUGACACUCCCCCCUCCCCCCCCUCUAACUCCACCCAUGACCCAAGCGCCAGAGUGCAGCGUAGCGUGUUUACAUGCACCAAGGUGUCGUGUAGAGUGCAAGCGAGAGGAACUAAGUGAAGAGUGCUUGAAAAAACACAUAAUUUCUCCUUGGGUGGAAAAAAAUCACAAAGAAAUCGUUGAAAUUAUCCCUAUUAGUGAGCAGCUGACAACAUGAGCAAGUGCAGUGUUCAGAGAGAGAGAGGCGGGGGAGGGGCUGGUGGGGUAGGAAGGGGGGAAGGGGCAGACAAGCUGAGACUACUACCAAGUAGCCAAUGAGCGACAGUCGACAUACUCCGUCGGCGACGGCCAUACGUCAAGUGGCCGCAAAUGUCGUGUCAUCAACAGGAAGAGGAAACGACGUGGAACUACUUAACAGUUUGUUUAUGUCAGGACCGCGAGCCCCACCGGACUCAGGAGAUACCAGUGCGGACCUCCACCUUUCCCUGACCUUCAUCCCCCCCCCUCCUUCCUUUGUAACCCCACCUCCCCCUCCCACGCCUUGCUAACUAGCUUCCCUAACCAUCUGACACUGGCACCCUUCCCAUCCCCCCUAGGAUACCUGGCUAACUGCACAUCCGUUCACCUGUCACCUCAACCCCCCAAAAUCCAUGAUUCCCUGACCCAACCUGUUUCGUAAUCCCAUUCACCCCCCCCCCCUUUCCCAAUCUAGUCACCUAACUCUUCCCCCACUCAUUCAGUCUCCUGAAUGAGCCAAUCAUCCUUUUAUCCGAAUCCCCCUUCCCCCCCUCUCCAUAAGGUACCAUGACCCCCCCCCAAUCCAUUCUGUCACCUGACCCCCUCCCCACCACCAACCUGCUGACCUACGGCGACCUGCACACCCCUGUCUCGUGAGGCCUUCAUGCAGACUAGUGACCUACAGUGGCCUACCUUCUGCUGGCUUGCAUCACUGACCAGCGCCGCCUGUCUCCCUGCUUACCAGCUGGUGACCUACGUUGAGCCCCAACACCUGCUGAUUCAUCCUGCUCUGAGCCACCUGCUUCAUUAGACCUACUUACCAGCUGUUGACCAACGUUAACCUCCACCAUCUGCUGAUUCAUGCGGCUCUGCACCAUCUGUAUUGUAAUUUUAACGUAAAAACGUAAAAGGUGUUGACCUAUUGACCCGUUGCACUGGGUGACUGGAGGAGACUUUUUAUGUGAAAAUAGUAAAUUUUCUAAAUAAAAUAGCACAUCAUAA